UUAUUAUUAUUGACUGAGCUCUCGGCACUGGAAAGUUGAAGGUUAACUGUUAGAACUGGAUUCACCGAUUUUUGUGGUACUUCUACUUCCUCGGAUAGAUGGCAAAACAAUACAGCAUGUCAUGUCACAUGUUGCCAACCAUAUUGGUAAUAAUCAGUGUUGACCGGUCUUUUCGUCUGUAUUGAACACUGUGACAAAAAUGACGUGGUGCAGUUAAACAUUAAAGUUAUGUGUGUCAUUGAAAGGGAAUGAAAACGGGCGGAGAGAAUUGAAAUUUCCAUCCAUGAAUAACAGAAUUACAAGAUGGAGGCUGUGGGAGUCUACAUUUUGUCUUUGGUUUGACAGUGAAGGAAUCAUUGGAGACAGUAUGCAGUCUUCUUGAUGUACUCUCAACACUCUACAGACUGUGUGGAGGCAGGAAGUAUUAAGUGACUGCAAAAAUGACACAAACA